GGCAAACGGGGUUANUAACGGGUAGGUGACGUACCCUCGGGUUGGGGAUAGCCACGGGAAACUGUGGNUAAUACCCAAUAAUCUCUUCACACGUGAUGGUGUGGGGAGCAAAGGUGUGAUUCCACCGGAGGAGCGGCCUGCUUCGUAUUAGCUAGUUGGUGAGGUAACGGCUCACCAAGGCAUCGAUGCGUAGGGGGUGUGAGAGCAUGACCCCCACCACUGGGACUGAGAUACUGCCCAGACACCUACGGGUGGCUGCAGUCGAGAAUCUUCGGCAAUGGGCGCAAGCCUGACCGAGCGACGCCGCGUGUGGGAUGAAGGCCCUUGGGUUGUAAACCACUGUCAGAGGGGAUGAAGUGCCGGAGAGUUAUCUCUCCGGUUUGACAUANCCUCAGAGGAAGCACGGGCUAAGUUCGUGCCANCAGCCGCGGUAAUACGAACUGUGCAAACGUUAUUCGGAAUCACUGGGCUUACAGGGUGCGUAGGCGGCUUGUUAAGUA
rnacentral:rRNA from 1 species